rnacentral:rRNA from 1 species
CCUUCGGGCCUUGCGCUAUCAGAUUUUUUCCCCCCCCCGGAUUAACUAGUUGGUGAGGUAAUGGCUCACCAAGGCGACUAUCCGUAACUGGUCUGAGAGGAUGAUCAGUCACACUGGAACUGAGACACGGUCCAGACUCCUACGGGAGGCAGCAUUGGGGAAAAUUGGACAAUGACCUAAGCCUGAUCAAUCCAUGCCGCGUGUGUGAAAAAUGUCUUCGGAUUGU